rnacentral:antisense_RNA from 1 species
AUGAAUGGGGAAUAAGGUAGAAAGUGGAAUGGACAAGUCCUCUCUGUCAGGCCCAGUACAGAGCAGCAGCCCGGGACAGCAGUUAAAAGUUGGAGUGGUCAGAGCCCCGAGAGUAACUCACCUGCUGAGAAGGAUUAGUUAUCAGCUCCUAGGCAGCAGCCACAGCCAACAGAGAAUUAAACAUGCACAACAUUAGCCAAGACAUUUGGGGACCCAGAAAUAGCAUGACAGACACGGGGAUCCCUCAGCAUCUACACUGUCCACUUCAUCCCAGUGAGACCCAUGGUUGUAGACAGGCACCCAUAAGUGGCACUAGACAGGAGCUGCUUCUAGCAGACAUGCACUCACGGAGAAGCCAAACGAAGCGGAGAUCAGGCAGUUCCUCCCAUCUGCCCAGUGCGACCACCACUCCCCAGUCAGGGCAGACCAAACCCCUGAGUUCUCCCACCCCAGGCUUUGCUGCCUGUUCUUCCUUUUCCUCUGCUGAAAACCUGCGGAGAGGGUGGAGGACAUUCCUCCAUCCUGGGAUGAGUUCACCUUUCUAACUAGGGGAGGAGUCACAAAUGAACUCGAUCUGGAAGCUCCAGAAAGUUGUGUUUAUUGAGGCAGAGAAAAGCAAGUGUCCUUGAAUUUGCUCACUGCCCCUCAUCUGUCCUUUGAUGUGCAAGGGGAACUGAAGAGGCACAGCCCGCACCUCUGUUCUCCCUGAUGCUGAUGGAGUGGAAGCUACCAACUCAAAACCUGCAUGGGGCACAGAGAAGACCAUGACUCCCAGGACCUCCCCUGCCCCACAACCGAGAGAAGAGGCAACAAGGUUAAUACAGCCUCCAGGAUCUCUCCAGUCCUGCUGCUGGGAUUUCGGUCCCAGAGACUAGACGGCCCACUGAGUGAGGGGAGGCAGGUGACUGGACUGUGUGGGCUCAGAGAGGUGAAGGGGACAGGACAGGGGGUCUUUCAGUCUUAACUUUUCUCAACUCACCAAGCUGGGAGGCCCCAAACCCAGUUUGUACAAAAUCCAUAACCUUCUUUCCUGACUGGCCCCAUCCCAGCCUCACGUCAGGGCCCUGGAGCCUAGGUAAGCUGUGCCAGAGCCCUGUCCUGCAGAAAGAUUCUCAAAUGAGGAGGUGGCCUGUGAUCACCAAGCCUGGUACGCUUGCCACACACUCCUCUGUCCUCAGCCCCACUCGUGGAGAAUUGGCUCACAGGAACCAGUGCUCAUAAGAGUUCCUUUCAGCUCUAGCAGCCUUAGCUGCCAGCCUGACAUGGGCAUGGGGUUAAAAAUGUCUCCUGGAAUUAGGGGUAGAGAAUCCGAUGCUGUGGGCACCCACAUUUAAAUUAAAUAAACAAUCAUCUGGCCAGAGCCCUAGGAGCGGCUGCAUGUGUCCUCGGUCAUCCACAGAUCAGGGCUGGGCAGAAAGUGAGCUACGGCACCCUCACCAGCUCAGUGGGGAGCCAGGCCACAACAGCCAGCCAUUGCCAGGACCCACUCAUUGGCACCCAGGGAAAGCCUCAAGACUGAGGUCCUAGGCUAAGUAAAGAAAACAAGGAAGAUGGUAGCCCAGCCCCAAGAGGGAGAAGUCCCUCUGGGGCGGGCCAGAGAGAAAGCAAUUCCCUGAGGCUUCUAAGCUGGUCAUUCCCCAAAUGGACUUAGAGGGAAGGCCCCCAGCUGCUAGUUACCAUGCGGAUUCCUGGGCCCCAACUCAUCUCCUGAAUCACAUUCGAGGAUGAGGUCUGAGAAGCAACCCUUUUGGCAAUCCCCACAGGUACUCGGCACAGUUUCAGAUUCCCACCUCAGGAACACCCUGCGCUCUGCCACCAACUCAUCCCCUACUUUCUCUGUGACUGGAAGACCAGACUUGCUGGUAGCCACCUGCACAUAGAGCCUUGAGAGCAAUAUCCAACGCCUCCCCGGGCCUUCCCAGGCCCAGCCCCAGACUCAGCCUCAGCCCCCUGAGUGACAUGGAGCAGCACCUUCUGCCUUCCUUGCAAGGCAGCAUCCCCUGCUCGGUCUCAUAGAGGUGUUGACAGACAAAAUGUGGUGGAAAAGUGGUUUGAGAAGUUAUUAUGCCUUCUAAGCCUAGUCCCUAAAUCCUGGGCCAAAGACAGCAAGGGUCCACAGUGGUCAGGCCUUGCGACUCUACCUCCGAUGCUCCAAGAUGGAAGAGAGAAAUGGACAAAACACCAUUUUAAUACUUGGUGUAUAAAUAUGAACCAUAAUACAAGGAUGUUUCCCCCUAUGGUCUGUGCACCUCUACUUCAUACCUACAUCCUCAGCAAGAAUAAAAUCAUCACCUUAUAAAGAAUAAAAUCAUUCAGUAUACAUGUGAGGAAGGAAGGAAAGAAGGAAGGUAAGGGGAAGGGGAAGAGGGAGGAACGGAAGGAAGGAAAGGAAAGGAAAGGCAGGCAGGCAGAAAGGAAAGGAAGGCAGGCAGGCAGAAAGAAAAGGAGAAGCUGAGGUUUGGAUUCAAGGGUAUGGUCCAAGAGGCCAGAGGGUAUGGGGUCUUACCUGGUGCCUCUGGUAGGCUGAAAACAUUUUUUCAAAAUCCUCUAGGUCCAGAAUCCGAAAUACCUGCAUGUCAUCAAUCUCAUUCCAUACGGUGCCAGGGACACGCUCCUAAGAUUCAGGGUAGGGAGAAGAUCCCAUGGUUGGCCCAACUCCGUCAUGAAGAUGCCCCAUGCCUCCAUAACCCCACUUAUCUCCCAACUGCAAAUACUAAGACGACCAGGAUUUCAGACCUUCAGAAGGCAGUCGGUUGCUCCCCUCAACCUCCAACUCUCUUGAAUACUCUGCUCCAGGGUAGAGGCCAGAGACAACCCCCUUCUCCUCCCUUGUGCAUGGAGCCACAUGUAAGCAUGUUCUAGAAAUCAUGGGGGGUGCUGGGGGGAUGGGUAGGCAGUAGGAAAGGGGGUGCACCUCACUUUUUCCAAAAGCAAAGUCAGAAGCUGCACUCUCAGGGUACUUCACACAGGCCCACUCCCCCUAAAGGGCAGGGUACCUGGGAGUCACUCCUGUCCUUGGCUGCCAUCAUUGGAAGAUUAAAGCCAUACAUAUUUUGGAUCCUC